rnacentral:rRNA from 1 species
AUGGAUUGGUGCCUUCGGGAACUCUGAGACAGGUGCUGCAUGGCUGUCGUCAGCUCGUGUUGUGAAAUGUUGGGUUAAGUCCCGCAACGAGCGCAACCCUUAUCCUUUGUUGCCAGCGGUUAGGCCGGGAACUCAAAGGAGACUGCCAGUGAUAAACUGGAGGAAGGUGGGGAUGACGUCAAGUCAUCAUGGCCCUUACAAGUAGGGCUACACACGUGCUACAAUGGCGCAUACAAAGAGAAGCGACCUCGCGAGAGCAAGCGGACCUCAUAAAGUGCGUCGUAGUCCGGAUUGGAGUCUGCAACUCGACUCCAUGAAGUCGGAAUCGCUAGUAAUCGUGGAUCAGAAUGCCACGGUGAAUACGUUCCCGGGCCUUGUACACACCGCCCGUCACACCAUGGGAGUGGGUUGCAAAAGAAGUAGGUAGCUUAACCUUCGGGAGGGCGCUUACCACUUUGUGAUUCAUGACUGGGGUGAAGUCGUAACAAGGUAGGCGUAGUGCU